ACGCUGGCGGCAGGCCUAACACAUGCAAGUCGAGCGGUAGAGAGAAGCUUGCUUCUCUUGAGAGCGGCGGACGGGUGAGUAAUGCCUAGGAAUCUGCCUGGUAGUGGGGGAUAACGUCCGGAAACGGACGCUAAUACCGCAUACGUCCUACGGGAGAAAGCAGGGGACCUUCGGGCCUUGCGCUAUCAGAUGAGCCUAGGUCGGAUUAGCUAGUUGGUGGGGUAAUGGCUCACCAAGGCGACGAUCCGUAACUGGUCUGAGAGGAUGAUCAGUCACACUGGAACUGAGACACGGUCCAGACUCCUACGGGAGGCAGCAGUGGGGAAUACUGGACAAUGGGCGAAAGCCUGAUCCAGCCAUGCCGCGUGUGUGAAGAAGGUCUUCGGAUUGUAAGGCACUUUAAGUUGGGAGGAAGGGCAGUUACCUAAUACGUGAUUGUUUUGACGUUACCGACAGAAUAAGCACCGGCUAACUCUGUGCCAGCAGCCGCGGUAAUACAGAGGGUGCAAGCGUUAAUCGGAAUUACUGGGCGUAAAGCGCGCGUAGGUGGUUCGUUAAGUUGGAUGUGAAAUCCCCGGGCUCAACCUGGGAACUGCAUUCAAAACUGACGAGCUAGAGUAUGGUAGAGGGUGGUGGAAUUUCCUGUGUAGCGGUGAAAUGCGUAGAUAUAGGAAGGAACACCAGUGGCGAAGGCGACCACCUGGACUGAUACUGACACUGAGGUGCGAAAGCGUGGGGAGCAAAC
rnacentral:rRNA from 1 species